AUUGAACGCUGGCGGCAGGCCUAACACAUGCAAGUCGAACGAGUGGCGGACGGGUGAGUAAUGUCUGGGAAACUGCCUGAUGGGGGGGGAUAACUACUGGAAACGGUAGCUAAUACCGCAUACCAUCAGAUGUGCCCAGAUGGGAUUAGCUAGUAGGUGGGGUAAUUGCUCACAUAGGCGACGAUCCCUAGCUGGGCUGAGAGGAUGACCAGCCGCACGGGAACUGAGACACGGUCCCGACUCCUACGGUAGGCAUCAGUGGGGAAUAUUGCACAAUGGGCGCAAGCCUGAUCCGUCCAGGCCGCGUGUAUGAAGAAGGCCUUCGGGUUUUAAAGUACUUUCAGCGGGUAGGCGUUACCCGCAGGAGAAGCACCGGCUAACUCCGUGCCAGCAGCCGCGGGAAUUC
rnacentral:rRNA from 1 species